UUUAAGCGCAGCUAUGAGUUUCCGUGUCCAACUUUGAUUAUCCAUAUUAUUUAAAAAAAUUAUGAUUAGUAUUUUUAUUGUUAUUAGAUAAUAAAACAUAAACAUUACUUUAUGUGUGACUUAUUUUUUUAAUUUUUUCAAAAAAAUUUAAAUAAGAUGAAUGAUUAAAGUUGAUCACGGAAAAUGAUGGUUGCGCUUAAA
rfam:Oryza punctata chromosome 8, whole genome shotgun sequence.